UACGUAGGUGGCAAGCGUUAUCCGGAUUUAUUGGGCGUAAAGGGAACGCAGGCGGUCUUUUAAGUCUGAUGUGAAAGCCUUCGGCUUAACCGGAGUAGUGCAUUGGAAACUGGGAGACUUGAGUGCAGAAGAGGAGAGUGGAACUCCAUGUGUAGCGGUGAAAUGCGUAGAUAUAUGGAAGAACACCAGUGGCAAAAGCGGCUCUCUGGCCUGUAACUGACGCUGAGGUUCGAAAGCGUGGGUAGCAAACAGG
rnacentral:rRNA from 1 species